GACGAACCGUGCGAACGUUGUUCGGAAUCACUGGGCUUAAAGGGCGCGUAGGCGGGCCUCCCAGUCCGGGGUGAAAGCUUUCGGCUUAACCGGAAAAGUGCCUUGGAUACUGGAGGUCUGGAGGGAGGUAGGGGCAGCUGGAACUUCCGGUGGAGCGGUGAAAUGCGUUGAUAUCGGAAGGAACGCCGGUGGCGAAAGCGAGCUGCUGGACCUUUUCCGACGCUGAGGCGCGAAAGCCAGGGGAGCACACGGG
rnacentral:rRNA from 1 species